rnacentral:rRNA from 1 species
CCCUUAGAUGUCCGGGGCCGCACGCGCGCUACACUGAAGGAAUCAGCGUGGCUUUCUCCCUGACCCGAAAGGGUUGGGAAACCCGUUGAAUCUCCUUCGUGAUAGGGAUUGGGGCUUGAAAUUGUUCCCCAUGAACGAGGAAUUCCCAGUAAGCGCAAGUCAGCAGCUUGCGUUGAUUACGUCCCUGCCCUUUGUACACACCGCCCGUCGCUCCUACCGAUUGAAUGUUCCGGUGAGCUCUUCGGACUGCGCGGUCUGCAGUUUCUGCGUUCCGUGCGGAAAGUUGCGCAAACCUUAACAUUUAGAGGAAGGAGAAGUCGUAACA